AAAUAUCAAUAAUAUUAUUCAUAAAUAUAAUAAGUAACGAAUAAUCACAAUAUUUUAAUGAACAAAACGUAAUUUUUCAACGAAUAGAAUACAAUUCUUAAUCAAAUAUUAUCGAAUGUUUAACUAGAAACUUUGAACAACAAGUUCAUCAAACAUUGAUUUUGAUUCUUCUCUGAUUCCUCUUCACCUCUUCAUCUUGGUCAAUGCUUCAAUCUUUUUGUACACGGUGUUGCUUGCACUGUACACCCCUUUGGAUUUUUCAUUCUUUUUCUUUUCUUCUUUUUACCUUGGUGUCAUCCUGUUUGUCUGAUUUCAAGGUGACUUUCUUGCCUGCAGAUUUCCUACUCUUUACUGUACUGUACUUCACUGUAAAUAUACACAAGUUAGUCUUAAUUAUAUUUUCAAUCAAAUUUAGGUAUCAAUUGUUAAUAAAUAUACCUCGCUUACCUGAAGAUUUGCUUUUUUGCUUUACUCCCUUCUGGUGUUUCACUUGCUGUUAAAAGUUUCUGUGUAGAUUUUGGUGGCUCAUCAACAAAAUAUGAUUCAAAUAGUGCACAUGUAAAUUGUAAUCAACAUAUUUUAAAAACUGAUUUUCAUAAUUAUAUAACAAAUGAAUAUUAGUCUGUUUUAUAUUUUCAUAAUUAUUGUUUGUCAUGUCUUUCGAAUUGUGUAUAUUAAAAAAUGAAUACAAUUUUUAAAAAAAGUAAUAGGAGUUUGGUACGAUGACAGAUGCAUUAUAAUCAAACUUUCGAAUAUAAAUAUAAUAAUAAUGAAUAAGUGUUGAAUUCAGUUUAAAUAUGAGUGAAAGUGGAGAAUUUCAUAUACAUUCUAUGAAAAAUAUAAAUGUAUAAAUUUACAAAAAUCGAAUUAUUCUUCUAAAACUUAAGAUGUUUUGUGAUUUCGAAUAACAUAGUAUUCAUUUAAAAACAGUACCAACAAUAAUAAAGAAUUCCAAUCUGUAAACAAUUUCAGUUUAUAGAUCCCAAGAGAACAGAAAAUAGAAAUCGAUACAUUAGAUGCUAUUGUCAUUACUUUUUUAAUUUAAAAACACGUCAGAUUUGGGAAAAAAAUAUCAAACACAGUAAAAAAUCAUCAGAUAUACCAGAUCUGUGUUUUGAAGGUCUGAAAAAUAGUAAAAUUAACAAAAUCCCAUUACAAGCAACAAAAUUUACAGAUAGGUUGUAUUCAUUAUGAAAACAACAGUAGCAACCAAACAAAUUUCGAACUUACCACCGUCGAUCUGUUGAAACCUAGUGCAGAGUUUCCUUUUUUUUGGCCGAAUAAACGAUGAACUUCAUGUGUGGUCGUGAAUAUGCAGAGAUUAUGGUAGUUUAGGAAUUUGAUUUGUUUCGAAUGAGCUAAUCUGUGUAGAUGAAGACGAUGGAGUUGAAGCGAGAAAAACGGGACUCCCAGAUUUAACUCGGUGGAUAAAAUUCCUAAUAGCCCCCUAAACACUGUAAAAACUCAGUUUUAA
rnacentral:lncRNA from 1 species